ensembl:lncRNA
UUUAAUAUUAAAUGUCUUUAUUUUUAAAUCUUUUUUGUUGUUUUUUUUUCUUUUUUCCAAAGUCGCUUGAUAAUCUUGACAAAUUGCAACAUCUUCCAUAAUUCUCAAACUGACGGUGUGUCUCUUGCUGUUCCAGAUUCGCUGUGGAGGGAAACGUUGUGCGCCGUUGCGGACGGGUGAAGUCCUUAACGACGAAAGCAGCUUUGACCGUACAAAUAAAACGAUGAACAGACCGGCGCCCGGCGUCCCGUGUGGCGACGCCGCGGGACGCGCGUGGUUCUGCGCAGGUCCUGGUCCGCCAGAACAAACAAGACCGAGUGACCGAAGAAAGAAUUCAGGGGCUCAGUAGCAGAAGUGUGUGUGUGUGUGUGUGUGUGUACAUUGGUGUGUGUACAGUAACGGUGGUCGACAUGAAACGUGUGUGUGUGUGUGUGUGUGUGUGUGUGUGUGUGUUGAACGGUGAAGGCGUUUUGGCGUAAAGUGAGUCACAGGCUGCGAGGUCGCUCCGGAUCCGGCAAAACGUCACUCAUUCGUUUCUACCACAGGUUGCCGGGGGUUAGGGGGGGGGUGAGGGUGAGGGUGGGGGGCUGUGAGGACUUUGACAAACAUCACAUUUGGGACCUUCACGUGAGCAGAGGCAUCACUACAAUCGAGUCUUUUCCCGUCCACGACAGAUUAUCGAUCCACUCGGAGACCACUACAGUGUGUGUGCGCGCACACACACACCAUGCUUCACAUUUGAACUCUUUGAGGAGGAGCUGCUGUGGCUCCCGGCUCCCGGCUCAGCAUUUUCAGAAACACCAUCUCUUUCUUCUACGUGGCCAAAAAAAAAGCUCUGCCCCGGCUGGAGUGCUACUUUGUCAUUCUACUGUAAAAACACGUUUUCAGAGUGAGGGGGUCCGUGGGUGGUGGGGGGGGUCUGUGAUAGCCACAUUCUGAACAGCCAGUGAUUGGUUAAGGGCCUGUCCAGUAUUUAAUAGGACACAAAACAUGAAAGAACCUCCUUCAGUAAAAUGUGCUCAAAAUAUCACAAAGCUAUAAACAAAACACGUAAAAGUAUUCUUUAAAAAAAAGAAAAAUCUGGUGAAGCCUAAAACUCUUCAUAGUUUUAAAGAAAUGAAUAAAGCUUAUAUACACAAACUCAAAGGCUAACUAAAAUACACCGUAAUAAUGAAUCUUCAUUAAUGUGAUUUCUUGAAAGGACCGGUGACCGUAUCAUACAACCAAGUUCAUACAAUCAGGGUUUUUUUUCCAUUCUCCUGGAAGCCAAAAAGAAAAGAAAAAAGGAAAACAAAUCCAACCUGGAAUAGUUCUAUUCAUCGCGACUUGUUUUCUGUGCACGUUUGUGUGUGUGUGUGUGCGUGUUUGUGUGUGUACAUUGGAGAGAAAUAUCAACGUCUUUUUGCUCCUUGUUAAUUGGAAUAAUGUACAAAUGUGAUCAAACUGAAAGGUGUCUCUUAAUACUCUCGACGGGCGUGAAAAGAUUCAAACGGUGGAGGAACAACGAUGUGUAAUCUCAGAAAACGUCCUCGCUCCGACCUGCCGUUCUGUUCUGCACAUGUCAAUCACAAUAGUUCAUUAACUUUCUAUAUAUAUUUAUAUAUCUUCUGUACGAAAUCUGUUUGUUUUUUUUAAGUUGGAAAAAGAGAAAAGACCCAGAGUCUUUGAGGAGGGGGGGGGGUCUUUAGUCCUCGGCUCGCGGUCCGCCUCAGAGCACAACAACAAAACAAAAAAAAAAGUGUCUGGUGUUUGUCGAGUCGUCUGUGUGCGUCGGCCCCGCGAAGCCCCGCCCACUCCGCCCACCACGGCCGCGUCCAUUGGUCCUUUGGGGGAAAGGUGGCGAGGGGAGGAGCAGGGUGGGUGGGAGGAGUCAUCAGCAGUGUUUACGGUGUGGUCUCCUCCCCCCCCCCCAACCAACCCCUCCAACAUGGAGAAGGUGCUCCGCGCGUGACGGAAAGCAGAUCAGGAGGUGGGUACUUGUGUCCUAGGAGAGGAGGAGGUUGGCUCUGCCCGUCUCCUGUGUUCAGCAGUCAGGUGUAAAAGCCCCCCACCCCCCCUCGCUGCCCCCCCCUCCUCUUUAGAACGUGGCGGGCGAACCCACAGCGCCGUGAGGGAUAGUAAAAAAGGUGGGCCGCGACUACGGCGAUUGUGUGGCUGGACUGCUUUGGGCGGAGCUGGGGGACAGACUGGGGCUGCAGCUGCCCGGGGGGGCGCCGCUGGGCCGGCCGCCGGCGGCGCCGCUUUCCAGACCCUCCGAGUUCUCCAGCAUCUCCUGGAUGAGAGGGGGCAUGGAGCCGGGGAUCUCCAUCUUCAGCGUGAUGACACGCUCAGCUCCU